GACAGAGGUCUCGAGCGUUAGGCGGAAUCACUGGGCUUAAAGCGUGUGUAGGCGGACUUGUAAGUACCUUGUGAAAUCCCACGGCUCAACCGUGGAACUGCUUGGUAUACUGGCUUGUCUUGGGCCAUCUAGGGGUUACCGGAACAAACGGUGGAGCGGUGAAAUGCGUAGAUAUCGUUUGGAACGCCAAUGGUGAAAACAGGUAACUGGGGAUGUGCCGACGCUGAGACACGAAAGCCAGGGGAGCGAACGGG
rnacentral:rRNA from 1 species